GUUCUGGAACUUUCACGGUCGCCCCCUCUCCCCGAACGGCCCCGGGAAAGGGAGGGUGGGGCCAAGAGAGCCCGCGCGCGGGAGUCCUCAGUCACCCCAGGCGGGGGAGGGGAGCGUCCGCCUCUGCGCAUGCGCCCCCAUCCAGCGCGGGCAGGAGGGGGCGGAAAAAGGAGGAAGAAAGGCGGGCAAACUUGGAGCCAACCAAUUACAGCGGCGCUAGCUGCGAUCUUGGCCAGCGCGGAAUCGGGGAAGGAAUAACGCAAGGCAUGAAGGGAGGGGUCCGGGCCUGCGAGCCCGGGAAGAGAAGACGGAAGUGGAGUGAGGACAAAAUGGCCGCGAAGGGCAAUGUGGUGAACACUUGACAUAUCUUCUAUGUGACCCUCACAACCAAUAGAAGACAGAUCUUGUCUCCAUUUUCAGCCACACCAAGAGGAAAAUCAGCAGAGCUCCAGCCACAAUGCCUGUCACUGCUCCUGCAACCAUGCCGAUGCUUUGUACAUCUAUUUUCUCAGAAGCAAAAGUACAAGUGAAAACCAGGCAUAAGCUAGGAAAUACAUUAAUUCAAAAAACAAAAGCCCUGGGCAGGAUAAGUGUUUUAAGGUGUACCGGCCCUCAUCACUGGGCUUCAGAGGCUCGAUCUGCAGGGAGGCAUCUCCUGCCAGGAAAUUGGAAGCAAAGGCUACUCGGCCCUUCUGUUCUUCAGUCAAGUUAUUGUAGACGUGACGACUGGACAAAUAUUUACUGAGAUUGUGUGUCGUGUACUGUGACCAACACUGAGAAAACAGGAAUAAGACACAGUGCCUACACUGAGGAGCUCAUGGUCUUGGUUUUGGGGGCAAAGGGCGAGGGAACAGAAGCUUCCAAAAGGAUGAUGCUCAAGGAAACUAUGCACUGCGUCACCCAGCAACUCAUGUUCUUGAAGAUAUAGCAUGCUAACCAUUUGAAGGUGGAGAAAACCUUAGAGAUGAACCUUCUUAUUUUACAAGAAUAGUACCCUGUCAGCAAUUUCAGACUCUGCUAUAAACUGAAGAGAAUUCUUCCACUUCUCCAAUACUUACUGAAAGUCUACAUGGCACAAGUUGCCCCUAAGUCCACGUGCUCAUUCUCCCCAAAGAUCAGACCCUCAGCACAGGAACUCAGCAUUUCCCAAGGCCCCAUCUAGAUGAAGCCACAGUGCUUGGUGCAGAGGUUGGGAACAGAUCAAGAGCAUUGAGCUCUUCACCUAUCAGAUAUGGAUGGUGCUGGGAAUACAAAGAAAUGGCGUGUUCACUCCGAUGGAAAGAAGCCCACCUUCCCUGCAGGCACCAUCGUGAGCCGUCAUGCCUGUAUCCUGCACAAUGAACGGGCAUGUAGAACAAGAUCCUGCAAUGGUAAGGGUUGAGCUGUUGAAAACAGCCAGAAAAAAAAAAUGUAGUUCACAAAUCUAAAACUCCAUUGCAAGUUACUUCUAAAUAUCAUCAUGGUACACAUUUGUAUGAUAUUCACACACAGCAUAAAAAAUGUAUGGCAAGAUCUUUGUUUUUCUUCCCUAAAUGGCUUUCAAAAAUAAUAUCCGUCAUUCCAAAAUAGGAUUUAAGUGAUGGUUUUUUUUCCUUCCCCCAAAAUAUUUUGACCAUUGCGUUUGAGAUCAUUGUUCUCUUCCCUCAAAUACAAAGGGCACAGAAAUUUCACUUGCCCCAUCAGUUCCAUUGAGAAAUAUUUCCGGGUAGCCACAGAGUUUAGAAAAAAAUUAAAUUAUGGAAAAGAAUAUUUUGGGUCUUGGAGGGAAUUUUUAACUCCUCUUAGUUUAAUUUUAUGUAUUUAAGAUUAGGAGCAAAACAAAACAAACAAACGAACAAUAACAAAAAAUAAGGAAGUCCAAAACUAACCUUUUCUGAGUUCUUAAAAUACUAGAUUUGAAAACACAAUGAUUACCUGAGCUGGCUUGGGUCAAAUUAGAGUCCUGACUCCAGUUUACUGUGUUGGCCUUAAAUAAGAUCCUUAACUUUUCUAAACCUAGUUUAUCAUCUGUAAAACAAGCAUAUUAGUAUCAAUAGUACCUUUUCACAUAGCUGGUGUAAGGAUGAAAUACAAUGACACUUGUUUUAAAGCGCGUGGUAUGAAGUAUAUCUUAGCUGUCAUAGUAAGGAGUACAAUAGUGAACAGAAAGUAACAGCCCUGGGGGAGGGGCACAAAUACGCAGGAAACCUCUAAGGAAGGAGCAGAAAGGAACCCAAGUGCUGAGGCAGGACCUCUGCUACCACAAAUAGUGCUUUUUUGGAGCAGAUUGCAAAGAUAGAUAUGAUUUCCAUCUUCCUCCAGGCUGAUUCAGACAGGGCACACUGCUAGUGAGUGGGCAGCAGCCCUAAUAAGGGGACCGGCAAGGGAAUGAAAACUUUGGGCAACCGUCACAUACAGAAAGCUGUCUGGAGGGUCUGUGAGGAGAUGGCUACUUCCUGAAUAAUAGUUUCCUCAGGUUUUUUUAAAUUUCUCUGUGCUCUGAGGUUAUAAUUGCCCACUAAGGAAUUCUAGAGUUGUUGGAAUGACCUGGAGAUAUGUUCAGGGAAAGAUGAGAAGUUUCCAAUGACUUCAGUUUAGAAUCAUCAGGAUCUAAUGACUGGAAAAGUAGGAUAGGGCAGAAUCAGGAAAAGCUCGCAUGAAGACAAAGACUCUCUCCUUGACCUGACUCUAGUCAGGCUCCUCUGAGUCCUUCUUUCCACUAGGCCUAAGCUUGGGCUCUGUCUUGGCCUGCCUACUCCAGCUUUAGCAAGAAUCCUUCUGAGUCAGUUUAGUGAAAAUCCCCCUCCCUUGGUCUCAUCACCCUCGAUCCUUAUCACGCUGGCCUGCUUUCAGUAAAAAUCUUGUUAGGUCAGUUUAGCAAAGAAUUACCAUACUUCUUAGUAAUUUUCUAUCUAUGAUCCUGAUCCCUUCUAUCCUGUUCCUUGGCUAUAAAUCUCCACUUUUCCUUAUUGUAUUUGGAGUUGGGCCCCUUUUCCCUCCCCUACUACAAAAUGCCAUUAUAGGCCGGGCGCCGUGGCUCACGCCUGUAAUCCUAACACUCUGGGAGGC